rnacentral:rRNA from 1 species
CCAGACUCCUACGGGAGGCAGCAGUGGGGGAUAUUGCACAAUGGGGGAAACCCUGAUGCAGCGACGCCGCGUGUGGGAAGACGGUCCUCUGGAUUGUAAACCACUGUCCCCAGGGACGAAGAUGACGGUACCUGGGGAGGAAGCUCCGGCUAACUACGUGCCAGCAGCCGCGGUAAUACGUAGGGAGCAAGCGUUGUCCGGAAUUACUGGGUGUAAAGGGAGCGUAGGCGGGAUGGCAAGUUGGGUGUUAAAUCUACCGGCUCAACUGGUAGUCGCACUCAAAACUGCUAUUCUUGAGUGAAGUAGAGGCAGGCGGAAUUCCUAGUGUAGCGGUGAAAUCCGUAGAUAUCUGGAGGAACAUCAGUGGCGAAGGCGACUAUCUGGCACAUAACUGACGCUGAGGAGCGAAAGCGUGGGUAGCAAACAGGAUUAGAUACCCCUGUAC